rnacentral:rRNA from 1 species
GGGAAUCUUCCACAAUGGACGCAAGUCUGAUGGAGCAACGCCGCGUGAGUGAAGAAGGCUUUCGGGUCGUAAAACUCUGUUAUUGAAGAAGAACGUGCGUGACAGUAACUGGUCAUGCAGUGACGGUAUUCAAUCAGAAAGUCACGGCUAACUACGUGCCAGCAGCCGCGGUAAUACGUAGGUGGCAAGCGUUGUCCGGAUUUAUUGGGCGUAAAGCGAGUGCAGGCGGUCUUUUAAGUCUGAUGUGAAAGCCUUCGGCUUAACCGAAGAAGGGCAUCGGAAACUGGGAGACUUGAGUGCAGAAGAGGAGAGUGGAACUCCAUGUGUAGCGGUGAAAUGCGUAGAUAUAUGGAAGAACACCAGUGGCGAAGGCGGCUCUCUGGUCUGUAACUGACGCUGAGGCUCGAAAGCGUGGGUAGCAAACAGGAUUAGAUACCCUGGUAGUCCACGCCGUAAACGAUGAAUAC